UACGUAGGCGGAAAAUUAAGUCAGUGGUGAAAUCCUGCAGCUUAACUGUAGAACUGUCAUUGAUACUGGUUUUCUUGAAUAUAGUUGAGGUAGGCGGAAUGUGUAAUGUAGCGGUGAAAUGCUUAGAUAUUACACAGAACACCGAUUGCGAAGGCAGCUUACUAAGCUAUGAUUGGCGCUGAGGUACGAAAGCGUGGGGAGCGAACAGGAUUAGAUACCCUGGUAGUCC
rnacentral:rRNA from 1 species